rnacentral:misc_RNA from 1 species
UCACAGGCUGUACGCGCUCCG